rnacentral:rRNA from 1 species
AGUGAACGCUGGCGGUAGGCCUAACACAUGCAAGUCGAACGGCAGCACAGUAAGAGCUUGCUCUUACGGGUGGCGAGUGGCGGACGGGUGAGGAAUACAUCGGAAUCUACUUUUUCGUGGGGGAUAACGUAGGGAAACUUACGCUAAUACCGCAUACGACCUACGGGUGAAAGCAGGGGAUCUUCGGACCUUGCGCGAUUGAAUGAGCCGAUGUCGGAUUAGCUAGUUGGCGGGGUAAAGGCCCACCAAGGCGACGAUCCGUAGCUGGUCUGAGAGGAUGGACAGCCACACGGGAACUGAGACACGGUCCAGACUCCUACGGGAGGCAGCAGUGGGGAAUAUUGGACAAUGGGCGCAAGCCUGAUCCAGCCAUACCGCGUGGGUGAAGAAGGCCUUCGGGUUGUAAAGCCCUUUUGUUGGGAAAGAAAAACAGCAGGUUAAUACCCCGCUGUUCUGACGGUACCCAAAGAAUAAGCACCGGCUAACUUCGUG